rnacentral:rRNA from 1 species
UUUUGUUGUUAAGGGCUUAGGGUGGAUGCCUUGGCACAUGGGAGCGAUGAAAGACGUGGGAGGCUGCGAUAAGCCUCGGGGAGCUGUCAACCGAGCUGUGAUCCGAGGGUGUCUGAAUGAGGAAACUCACUGGGUAGGAAUGCCUGGUACUCAAACUUUGUUUGGGGGCGUACGUAGGGAAGUGAAACAUCUCAGUACCUACAGGAAAAGAUAUUCCGUUAGUAGUGGCGAGCGAAAGCGGAGGAGACCAAACCGGUUGUGUGUGAUACUUGUCAGGGGUUGCAUGAUCGGUGUUGUGGGAUGUUGUCGUACUGGUUCUGACAGGCUGGUGGCAAGUGAUAAAACAGGGUGUGAGCUGAACAGGAUUGAAUGCCUGGCUGUAGAGGGUGAUGGCCCCGUAGGUGUAAAUGCUUUGUCUUGUUGAUGAUGGUCCCAAGUAGCACGAUACUCGAGGAAUUUCGUGUGAAUCUGCCCAGACCGUUGGGUAAGUCUAAAUAUAUCCAUGUGACCGAUAGUGGACGAGUACCGUGAGGGAAAGGUGAAAAGUAGUCCGGGAGGACAGUGAAAUAGUUUCUGAAACCGUGAGCUUACAAUCCGUCGGAGCCUUGAGGGGUGACGGCGUGCCUAUCGAAAAAUGAGUCUGCGAGUUAGUGGUAUGUAGCGAGGUUAACCCGUGUGGGGGAUCCGUAGCGAAAGCGAGUUUUAAAAGGCGUUUGAGUUGCAUACUCUAGACCCGAAGCGGGAUGAUCUAUCCUUGAGCAGGUUGAAGCAGGGGUAAGACUUUGUGGAGGACCGAACGCACCUAGGUUGAAAACUGGGGCGAUGACUUGUGGAUAGGGGUGAAAGGCCAAUCAAAUUCCGUGAUAGCUGGUUCUCUCCGAAAUGCAUUUAGGUGCAGCGUCGGUUUUAGUUUCCAGGGGGUAGAGCUACUGGAUGCUUGCGGGCCCGUAUGGGGUACCAAUAGCAGCCAAACUCCGAAUACCUGUGAAGUGGUGAAGCAGCCAUCCUUGAAAGAGUGCGUAACAGCUCACUGGUCUAGUGGUUCCGCGCCGACAAUGUAGCGGGGCUCAAGCACACCACCGAAGACGCGGCAAUCAGUCUUUUUGGCUGGUUGGGUAGGAGAGCGUUGUCUACUGGGGUGAAGCAGGCGUGGAAACGUUUGUGGACUGUAGACAAGUGAGAAUGCAGACAUGAGUAACGAAAGACGGGUGAAAAUCCCGUCCGCUGGAUGACUAAGGGUUCCAGGGCCACGUUCAUCGUCCCUGGGUGAGUCGGGUCCUAAGGCGAGGCCGACAGGCGUAGUCGAUUGGAUGAAGGAGUUGAUAUUCUCCUACCAGUGUAUUCUCGACCAUUCCGAGGCUUACUGUACUAACCUCACACUUCUUACUGUUUCAUCUUUCGGGGUGUUGUGGUUGGUUGUGUUUGGGAUCUUGGUUUGUAGUAGGACAGCACAGGAGUGACGCAUUGGGAUAGCUGACAUGUCAGGUGGUUUUGGCAUGGUAAGCACGCAGCCUGUGGGAUAGGUAAAUCCGUUCCACGUGAGGGUGAGGUGUGAUGCGCGCUGGUUUUAUACUGGUGUUUUGGUGAUUCUUGGUGUCAAGAAAAUCUUCGGUGUGAGAGGAUAUAUCUGCCCGUACCCUAAACCGACACAGGUGGUCAGGUAGAGUAUACCAAAGCGAUCGAGCGAAUCCUGGUCAAGGAACUCGGCAAAUUACUCCCGUGCCUUCGGUAUAAGGGAGACCCUUGAUGGUGAAACUCUUUACGGGUGGAGCUUUUGGGGGUGGCACAGACCAGGGGGUAGCGACUGUUUACCAAAAACACAGGUGCAUGCGAAGACGUAAGUCGCUGUAUAUGCACUGACGCCUGCCCGGUGCCGGAAGGUUAAGAGGAUCCAUUAACCCUUUUGGGGUGAAGUGGUGAAUUUAAGCCCCGGUAAACGGCGGUGGUAACUAUAACCAUCCUAAGGUAGCGAAAUUCCUUGUCGGGUAAGUUCCGACCUGCACGAAUGGCGUAA